UACGAAGGGGGCUAGCGUUGUUCGGAAUUACUGGGCGUAAAGCGCGCGCAGGCGGUUUUCCAAGUCAGUGGUGAAAGCCCGGAGCUCAACUCCGGAACUGCCAUUGAAACUGGCGAACUUGAGUACGAGAGAGGUGAGUGGAAUUCCCAGUGUAGAGGUGAAAUUCGUAGAUAUUGGGAAGAACACCGGUGGCGAAGGCGGCUCACUGGCUCGUAACUGACACUCAUGCACGACAGCGUGGGGAUCAAACAGG
rnacentral:rRNA from 1 species